UACGAAGGGGGCUAGCGUUGCUCGGAAUCACUGGGCGUAAAGCGCACGUAGGCGGACUCUUAAGUCGGUGGUGAAAUCCUGGAGCUCAACUCCAGAACUGCCUCCGAUACUGGGAGCCUUCGAGUCCGGGAGAGGUGAGUGGAACUGCGAGUGUAGAGGUGAAAUUCGUAGAUAUUCGCAAGAACACCAGUGGCGAAGGCGGCUCACUGGCCCGGUACUGACGCUGAGGUGCGAAAGCGUGGGGAGCAAACAGGG
rnacentral:rRNA from 1 species